UACCUUGUUACGACUUCACCCCAGUCAUGAAUCACAAAGUGGUAAGCGCCCUCCCGAAGGUUAAGCUACCUACUUCUUUUGCAACCCACUCCCAUGGUGUGACGGGCGGUGUGUACAAGGCCCGGGAACGUAUUCACCGUAGCAUUCUGAUCUACGAUUACUAGCGAUUCCGACUUCAUGGAGUUGAGUUGCAGACUCCAAUCCGGACUACGACGCACUUUAUGAGGUCCGCUUGCUCUCGCGAGGUCGCUUCUCUUUGUAUGCGCCAUUGUAGCACGUGUGUAGCCCUACUCGUAAGGGCCAUGAUGACUUGACGUCAUCCCCACCUUCCUCCAGUUUAUCACUGGCAGUCUCCUUUGAGUUCCCGGCCGGACCGCUGGCAACAAAGGAUAAGGGUUGCGCUCGUUGCGGGACUUAACCCAACAUUUCACAACACGAGCUGACGACAGCCAUGCAGCACCUGUCUCAGAGUUCCCGAAGGCACCAAUCCAUCUCUGGAAAGUUCUCUGGAUGUCAAGAGUAGGUAAGGUUCUUCGCGUUGCAUCGAAUUAAACCACAUGCUCCACCGCUUGUGCGGGCCCCCGUCAAUUCAUUUGAGUUUUAACCUUGCGGCCGUACUCCCCAGGCGGUCGACUUAACGCGUUAGCUCCGGAAGCCACGCCUCAAGGGCACAACCUCCAAGUCGACAUCGUUUACGGCGUGGACUACCAGGGUAUCUAAUCCUGUUUGCUCCCCACGCUUUCGCACCUGAGCGUCAGUCUUUGUCCAGGGGGCCGCCUUCGCCACCGGUAUUCCUCCAGAUCUCUACGCAUUUCACCGCUACACCUGGAAUUCUACCCCCCUCUACAAGACUCUAGCCUGCCAGUUUCGAAUGCAGUUCCCAGGUUGAGCCCGGGGAUUUCACAU
rnacentral:rRNA from 1 species